rnacentral:tRNA from 1 species
CAGAAAAUAGUUUAUAAAAAAUUUUAAUUUUGGAGAUUAAUGAUAAGUUAUUUAAUUACUUUUUUCUGA